AUUGACUUCAAGGUGUCAAUGAACCUUUACAACAAAGAGAUUAUCUCCCAAUCUCUUCACUCAAGUGUCUCACACACUCAAACUCUUACAAUUGAGAUGAAGAAAAGAAAGUUACAAUGAAACUCACUCAAUGAGUAGAUAUUCAAAAAUGAAGAACAAGAAAUGAUUCAAUAUUUUCGUGUGUUUUUUGUUUUUGCUUGUUGGAGAGUUUGAAAAUGAGCUGUACCGUACAUCCGCCUUGGCCGUACAGCAGAUACCUUAAAGUUUUUUUUUUGUUGGGUGUGAUUAAUGAAACUCAAAUUGAGUAAAAUUGAUUGUGCGAUUUCUUUUGCAGUGUUGCUGAAGGAUUUGGUGGUGUAUUUUAGUAUUUUCCAAUGUCUAUGGAGGUUAGUCCUACGGCUUUGGAGGGGUCGUGUGGAGUUGUAAAUGGGAGUGUCUGUGUGGUUGGUGAUGAGUCAGUGAUGAUUGACAAUAAUGUCGAAGAGAAUGAAAAUCCGGCGAAUUUAGUAGAGGAUUUUGAUUCAUAUUGGGAUGAUAUCAAUGACCGUUUAACUAUUUCAAGGAUGGUUAGUGAUUCAGUCAUCAAAGGCAUGGUGAAUGCAAUUGAACAGGAGGCAGCUGAGAAGAUUGCCGAGAAAGAACUUGAGUUGGUUAGAUUGAGGGAAUCAUUGCAUCUUUACCAUGUGGGUGCAGAAGAAAGUGAACCCUUUCAGUCUCUGGUCAUGAAGCAUGAGUCAGGAAGUGUAAAACAUGGAUCAUAUUCAAGUUUAUCUCUGCUCAUCAUCAUCCUUUUUCUCGCCUCUUUUUUUGCGCUUUUUAUCUUUCACUUUACCCCAUUUGUUUUCAAUACUCUCCACCUUUCGAAAAAUGGCCUCACUAUUCAAUGGUUUCGGAGGAGGCUCUCUUUCAUGUUUAUUAUUAAAAGGUUUCUUUUGAGUUCGAAAGGGAUGAUCAUGAGGAAGCCAACGGCGAUGGCCAAUAUAAGUAUUUUUUUUUACUGUGUUUAAGUCUACAUUUUGGCAUAUCUUCACCGCAAUAAGGACAAGCAUAAUAACCCUUAACUGUACAACCCGCCAAAUUCCCAUAAGCGGGAAAGUCAUUUAUAGUCCACAAUAGUACAGCCCGUAAAUUGAAGAACUCUUUUUUGUAGGCAUCAUAAGCUUCCACACCAACAUCCCAUAGAGUUUGCAAGUCCUCUAUUAGUGGUGCCAAGUACACAUCAAUAUCAUUACUGGGCUGUUGUGGACCAGAAAUUAAUAAGGAUAACAUCAUAAAUUUUCGUUUCAUACACAACCAGGGUGGAAGAUUGUAUGUUACAAGAAGAAUGGGCCAGCAACUAUACGUACUACUAAGAGAGCUAUGAGGAUUAAUGCCAUCAGCUGAUAGGGCAAGACGCAGAUUUCUAGGCUCUAAAGCAAAGGUAGGCCAUUUUUCAUCAACUAACUUCCAUGCCGGUGAGUCAGCUGGAUGUCGAAGCUUACCAUCUAUUUCCCUCUCAUUUAUAUGCCAAGUCAAGUCUUUGGCAGUUUGUGAGGACUGAAACAAACGCCUAAAUCUAGGUAUAGGAGGGAAAUACCAUAACACUUUUGUAGGAACCCCCUUCCUAUAAGCAGCAACACUACCAUCUCUUUUCUUCCACCUAGAUUCACCGCAUGUAGGACAAUUAGAAAGGCUUUCAUACUCCUUUCUAUAGAGUAUACAAUCAUUUGGACAUGCAUGAAUUUUGAUAUACUCUAAGCCUAAAGCACUCAUUGUCUUUUUGGCUUCAUACAUUGAUAAAACAAAUCUGAAAAGCUACUAUUAGACCACCCAUAUCUGCCCUUUAUAUUGUACAAUUUAACUAAAGCUGAUAACUUGGUAAAUUUGUUUGAUCCAGGGUACAAAGGCUUCUCAGAAUCUUCUAAUAGUUUUUUCAAUGCUUUAGGAUCACUAUCACAAUCCUUAAAAGCAUCUUCAACCAUUUCAACAGUAUUACCACCAUCAUAAUCCAUAUAUCCACUGUCAUUUUGGCAACCUAUAUUGUCAGGAGAUUUGUUACGGAUAUCUUCCCCAUGCCAAACCCAUGUUUUGUAUGACAUAUCAAGACCCCAUAUAAUUAAAUGAUCUUUCACUUCUUUAGGCCUAUGAAAUGCUAAAUUUCGACAUUUAUCACAUGGACACCUAACAACACUAAUUUCUUGAUUACUUUCAACUGCAGUCUUAAUAAAUUUUUCCACACCAGCCUCAUACUCAUCGGACAAUCUAUCAUAUUUAAGCCAAGAUUUAUCCAUUUUUUGUCUAGUACCUAACAUAUAAUUGAGAUAAAUUUCAACACAAUGUACUAAUGGGCAGCAAUGAUAAACGGUUUCCAUUAUCAAUAAAUUAAGCAACAAAACAUUAUUAAUAUUCAAUUUAUAAAUUCAAUGAAAUAAAUAAGUUUAAAAAAAAACUUGUCAUCAUGUGCAACAAAUGUAACUUUACCAACAUGCUAUCAUCAUUGACCAAAACCACCGACUAACCAUACCCAACUAAUAAUAUCCUAAAUAACUUGGCCCACAUACAUUUAACAUUUAUUUAAAAAACAAUUCUAGCAAUCCAGCAUUUCAUGGACCACAAGACUAUAUAUAUAUAACCAACUAAACAUUACUUGGUCCACAUGACCAAACUUGCCCCCACAUGGUACCAUUUCCUUCAAACAUAAAAAAGACAAUUGAAAAGGGGGCCUUACUUUUUAACUCAAUAAAUUACACAAAAUCUAGCUCACAAUCAUUAAAGAAAAUGUCAACACCAUUGGACCACAGUUUCGGAUUCAUCCCAACAAAAGACACUAGUAAAUGAAAAGUACUAUAUCAUCAACCAAAAUCACUUCACACACAUGCAAGCUCUGACUAAAAAUUUACAGAAUAUAACAAUAUUCAUACAAACCAUUGGCAGCAAACAUUUUUCAAACAUUGAACGGAAAGGCAAGUAAAAAAUUGAACAAACCUGAUGUUAGAAAUCGAGUUUGAAAGGGAACAGGGCAGUGAAAUCCUGCGAUUCAGAACAAAUUUUUUUUUUUAAAAAAAAAAAGAAGAGGACAUGCUAAAUUAAAUGAUUGAGCAAUUUCUAGAUUUAACAGAAGGACAAAGUAUAAGCUUCUUGAAUUAAAAAAUAAACAAAAAAUAUAACAAUAGAAACAAACGAGAAUUAAAAAGUAAUAAUAAAGAUAAACCUAGGGCAUAAAUUAUGAACAAAUAAGGGAAAUAACAACAAAACUAACAAUUAAUUUUAUAAUGACCAAUUAAUUUAUUCUGAAUAAAAUUUAAAAAAGUUAAUUGAUGACAAACCUAGGGAUUCAGCGAUUACAGGAUGGCUUCUCCAACGCCGAUUGAACAAUACAAAGAAAUAGUGACACCGACGGCUUCAAUAAUGGACGCGAAGGCGCAACAAUGAGCAUAUGUGGUGAUUUUGUUCCUAAAAACAAUGGGUUCGAAAUAAUGGGGGUUAAAGAUAAUGGGGGUUCAAAAUAAGGACGGGAAGGCUCCUUCAAUAGCAUAAACUAUGAUUUCGGUUUCCAUGCAACGGAUUUCAAAACCAAUUUGCAGAUUAAAAUAUGUUAAUAAACGGAUUUUGAGGGGUUUCACUGCUUUGGUUUCUCAGCCCUUGCUGAUGGAGUGAUGGGUCAAAGGUGCCAACACUUAGAAUUUUUUUUAUGUUUGUGGUUUACAAUAUACUGAAAUGAUAGCGUUUAAAUGUUAAAUAAAUAUUUUUAUUUUAAAAAUGUUUUAAAUCUGUAAAACGGUGUCCUUUUAUGUCCAAAUUAAUUCCACUCGAAACCCACGGUUUGAUUAAAUAUUAAUACGCUAUCAUGUUUAUCUGAUAUAUAAAAAAUCUAUCAGAAAUCUGUCAUGAAUUUAUGAUGUACGAAAAUUCUAUCAUAUGUCUAUCAUAUUCUUAUGAUAAAUGACUAAUUUUCUAAUAUCUAUCACAAAAAUUCUGUCAUGGUAGCCUAUUUUUCUAGUAGUGUAUUAUUUUUAUUUCUCUUAAUUGGAGAUUUUGGUUUAUGUCCCCCUCCAAAUGUAUUUUCUUUAUCUGUUCUAAAUGACCGGUAGGAGUCCCGCCUAACCCCCCAUAGAGUGAAAAAAAAAUUGGUUAAAUAAUAACUUGUAAUAGAAACUUUAGAAGUGCGUGGUGACUUAUCUUAUAUGCUACAUUUAAAAAGCAACCUGCAUAUAUUUUUAAAAAAACAAAUAUCAAAAUAAAUAAACUUAUGAAAUAAACACCACAACAGAAAUGGCUUUUUGCAACAAAAAGAUUUUGUUGCCUAAAGUGCUAAUUUUGUUGCCAUAGGUUAUUGCUACAAAAACAAGCUUGUCGGCCCGGUCGUCGGCCUAGCACUGUCGCCCUCUAUGUUUAACAACAUAUCAAAACAUUUCUCGCCUCAAACUUCCUUUUGCAACAAAACAGAUUCGUUGUAAAGGAGUCUUCAACUUGUUUAGAGAAUAAUUUGGCAACAAACAUUUUUGUUGCGCUAAACAGUUUUACACAACAAAAUUAUUUUGUUUUUAUAUAGUUAUUUACUACAAAACGAAUUUGUUGCUAAGAAAUAAAGUACAUUUUAUAAAAAAAAAACGUGUACCAACAAAGGUGUUUGUUAGCUAAGAUCAUUUUAGGCAACAAAACUACUUUGUUUCUUUAUGUUGAAAAUUUUACAAAUUUGCAAUAAAUAUUUAAAUAUUUUUAGAAACAAAUCAAUUUUUUCAUUAAAAAGUACUACAAUUUUUUUUAAUAAUAUCAUGGUAUAAAAGGAAGCAAACCAAGUUCGUUGGGAAAGAUACCAAUUUUUCCCCUACCAUGACAAUAAUAAACUAGAAAUAUAUGUUGAGAAAUCUAACAAAAAAAUCAUUAAUGUCAUUGAACUAAUUUAAAAGUUAAAGGCCCAUUCAGUAUCCAAGCUAUACUUUAAGAAUCACAUAUGAUCCCAAAAAUGUAAUGAGCAAAAAUUAUAAACGAUCUCUAAUUACAACUACUCCAAACUCCAAAUACUUAAAGAUAUGACAUGCACCAGCAGUAACCAAAAAGAUCAAGUGAUGACCAAUUCAAAAUACUAACAAGUUCAAGAUACUCUAAGGACAUCAUUGAAAUGAGUAAUCAUUAAGUAGCUGAAUCUGUAAAGCGAAAAGCGGAUCCUUGAGAAGAAAAAAAUUGCUGCAUCAUACCCUCAAAUUGGGACAAUAUGGACUCCAAUUGAUCAAUAGUCUUCUUUUGCUCUUGAAGCUCAACAUCUUGUGAAUCCAAUCUACUUUGUUGUGAAGAUAUAAUACCAUGCAAUCUGUCAACCUCAGAAGUAUCAAAACCAUGGUUUGAAGUUGGGCGUGGUCCGUUGCCAAGUUCUCGAAAAUAGCCUGAUUUCUUUCCAAGCACUUCAAUGCAUAUUUCCCUUUGAGUUAGUGGUUUUGCUUCUUCAGUAUGUAGGUGAUAAGAAAUAAUAAAAUUAAAAAUUUUGUUUCCAACAAAGCAUCUUACAUGGUUUAAGUGUGCCACCUCAUUCACCCAACCUUUUGUCUUGCUGAAAUGAGUGACGCGAAAUAAUUCUAUUUCACCAUCAACCAUGUCAUCCUCAAGAUAAUUAACAAAAGGUUUUGAUCCCCCACAAUGAACAUAUGGGAGCUUAGCACGAUUAGCUUUGUUUUUGGUAGAUUGAGUCUACAUUAAAAAAAUAUAACAAUGGAAAAUAAGAUACAUAUACAAGCAUAUUGACAACUAGUUGGACAAUUUAAAGUUCAUAAUAUGAAUAUCAUUGGACCGGGAAACUUGUGGAAUUGUAAAUGUUAUGACAAAGCCAAGCCCAAUCAUCUGGACAUAUGAUUGGAUACGAAUGCUUAAGUGCCUCUUCAAAGGAUGGAUAAUCCAAGUAAUGAUCAUACAUCCAAUGUCUCAUAUCACGAUAUGUCCCACCUAUAAUGUUAUUCACACAUCGACGAACAUGUGGUAAGUUCAAAUCAAUCUCAAACUUUGACUGAAUUUAGGAAAAAAAAGAUAUCUCAGUUUAUAAUUUAAAAAAAUGACAGAUGAAGAAUAUUAAUAAUCAUAAGUACUUACUAAUAGUUGAUCAAACAAAACCUACCAAUUAAACUCUUUAAAUACCAAAUUCUAGAGUUGUAACAACACCUUGUACAAACUCUUGGCUGGGCAUAACAGGCUGAGAUUGGGGAAUUGUAGAUGCGACAACAAUUUCUGCUCUUACACGUUUGGUAACUAUGUCCAGGACCCAUCUAGUAAUUAUUAAAAAUAUACAUUA
rnacentral:lncRNA from 1 species